rnacentral:misc_RNA from 1 species
AACUUUUGGCAAUGGAUCACUAGGCUCUCACAACGAUGAAGAACGCAGCGAAAUGCGAUAAGUAAUGUGAAUUGCAGAAUUCAGUGAAUCAUCGAAUCUUUGAACGCACCUUGCACCCUUUGGCAUUCCAAAGGGUAUGCCUGUUUGAGUAUCAUGAAAUUCUCAACUCCCCUCAGAUUCUGUCUGUAUGGUGAGCUUGGACUUGGAGGUUCUGCCGGUGUUUGCUGGCUCCUCUUGAAAUCAUUAGCUUUGAGUUGAUCUUGAUGGCUUGACCGGUGCGAUAAACAUCUACGCCGAUUCAUGCUGUCCUGAGCGACGUUGUCGGAGACGCUCUGGCUUAUAACCGUCUUCACCAAAGGAGACAACACCCUGAACUUUUGAUCUCAAAUCAGGCAAGACUACCCGCUGAACUUAAGCAUAUCAAUAAGCGGAGGCU